UACGUAGGGUGCGAGCGUUAAUCGGAAUUACUGGGCGUAAAGCGUGCGCAGGCGGCGCGUUAAGACAGGUGUGAAAGCCCCGAGCUUAACUUGGGAAUUGCGCUUGUGACUGGCGAGCUGGAGUGUGGCAGAGGGAGGUGGAAUUCCACGUGUAGCAGUGAAAUGCGUAGAGAUGUGGAGGAACACCGAUGGCGAAGGCAGCCUCCUGGGCCAGCACUGACGCUCAUGCACGAAAGCCAGGGGAGCGAACGGG
rnacentral:rRNA from 1 species